CCUACGGGAGGCAGCAGUGGGGGAUAUUGCACAAUGCGGGAAACACUGAUGCAGCGACGCCGCGUGUGUGACGACGGUCCUCUGGAUUGUAAACCACUGUCCCAAGGGACGAAGAUGACGGUAGCUGCGGAGGAAGCUCCGGCUAACUACGUGACAGCAGCCGCGGUAAUACGUAGGGAGCGAGCGUUGUCCGGAAUUACUGGGUGUAAAGGGAGCGUAGGCGGGACUGCAAGUUGGGGGUAAAAUCUACCGGCUAAACCGUUAGCCGAACGCAAAACUGCAGUUCUUGAGUGAAGUAGAGGCAGGCGGAAUUCCUGGUGUAGCGGUGAAAUGCGUAGAUAUUAGGAGGAAAACCAGUGGCGAAGGCGGCCAGCUGGGUUUUAACUGACGCUGAGGCGCGAAAGUGUGGGGAGCAAACAGGAUUAGAUACCCUUGUAGUC
rnacentral:rRNA from 1 species